ACUGAAAUCUAGUACCGGUACACAAUAUCAAAUAUUGUUAUACUCAUUUCACAAGUACCAAAACCCACUUAUAAUCCAUAUAUCAUCGAUUUAUAUGAUUCUAAUGUCAUAAAUAAGUAUGAAUCACCAUAACAUGAUUUAAAAACUUACCUGAGUAUCGUGAUUCAUGCAGUGAGAUGUUUCUGAGUUCUCGAAAUCUUGGAUUCUUCGAUCUUCAACAAUCACGCACCAAACCCUUCAAGACUCCGACCCAAAUCACGAAAUUUGCCAACACAAAAUACUUAACAAUCUCCCCCUUUGCCAAUUUUGUAACAAAACUCAAAAAUACAUCAUAAAUGAAAAACGUAGUUCAAUGUCAUCACAAAAACAUCGAACCCCUCGCGUGUAAGAUCCAAAAUACAUAUGAUUCAAGAAUUACAUAAAAACUCCUAAAACAAACUCUAUGACU
rnacentral:lncRNA from 1 species